GGCUGAUUAGGUAGUUGGCGGGGUAACGGCCCACCAAGCNUUCGAUCAGUAGCUGAUGUGAGAGCAUGAUCAGCCACACGGGCACUGAGACACGGGCCCGACUCCUACGGGAGGCAGCAGUAAGGAAUAUUGGACAAUGGGCGCAAGCCUGAUCCAGCCAUGCCGCGUGAAGGAUUAAGGUCCUCUGGAUUGUAAACUUCUUUUAUAAGGGACGAAAAAAGGGCAUUCUUGCUCACUUGACGGUACCUUAUGAAUAAGCACCGGCUAACUCCGUGCCAGCAGCCGCGGUAAUACGGAGGGUGCAAGCGUUAUCCGGAUUCACUGGGUUUAAAGGGUGCGUAGGCGGGCAGGUAAGUCAGUGGUGAAAUCCUAGAGCUCAACUCUAGAACUGCCAUUGAUACUAUCUGUCUUGAAUAUUGUGGAGGUAAGCGGAAUAUGUCAUGUAGCGGUGAAAUGCUUAGAUAUGACAUAGAACACCUAUUGCGAAGGCAGCUUACUACGCAUAUAUUGACGCUGAGGCACGAAAGCGUGGGGAUCAAACAGGAUUAGAUACCCUGGUAGUCCACGCCCUAAACGAUGGAUACUCGACAUACGCGAUACACUGUGUGUGUCUG
rnacentral:rRNA from 1 species